GAUAUCUUAUACCCAAGGGUUGGAAAGUGAUGCCACUGUUCAGGAACAUCCAUCAUAAUCCAGAAUUCCACCCUUCUCCUCAAAAUUUUGACCCUUCAAGGUUUGAGGUACCUUAUCCUGCAAAAUCACUCAAACAAAUAUUUGUUUAAAAAAGCCAAUCCCUAUAUAUAUAAAUAUUCUCUGAACAUAUAUUUCAACUGUAUAUGGCUGCAGGUUUCUCCAAAGCCCAAUACUUUCAUGCCAUUCGGCAAUGGAGUGCAUUCUUGUCCAGGAAAUGAGCUUGCCAAAUUGAACAUGUUCAUCUUAAUUCAUCAUCUAGUAACAAAGUACAGGUAAAAUUUCAAAAAUUGAGUAAAAAGCUAUGUAGCACUCAUACGACACGUACAUAGAGAUACGUAUAAUCUCAAAACUAUAAGAAUGAGAACACAUAUUUAUAUAUUAUAUAAUUAUAAAUUAUGUAUAUUGACAAUAAAGAUUUAUGUGUACAAAUAUGUUUCAAUUUUUUUAUAACAUAAAAAUUUAUACAAUAAAUUUGAGUUUUUAAAAAUUAAUGUAUUUCUGCUUUUUAAAAUUGUAUUAGAAUCAUGUUGGAAUUUUCAUAAAUCCAAUAAUAUUUUCUGAAUUAGACACUUCACCAAUAAAUAUUAUAUGAGUGUCGAUAUUGUAUGAGUGUCGAUGUCCAACAAAAUUGGUAUAAAAAGUGUUUUACAUUGUUAUUUGAAUCCCCAAUAGGAUGAUGAGAGUGGUUAGUAACUCACUGUGUUGAAUUCUUUGGAUGACAGGUGGGAGGUUGUGGGAUAUCAGAAUGGAAUCCAAUAUAGCCCAUUCCCAGUUCCUCUGUAUGGUCUACCAACAAGAUUUUGGAGAAACCAAUUGAAUUGAAUCAAAUAUGAUUAUAUCAUAAAAUCUUGCUUUAUUCAUCAUAUAUUAAACUUUUGGAAUUCCUUGCCACCCAACUUCAUAUUGAUUCCUCCUCCUUAACCCAAAACAACUUCACCUCCUAUUUUAAAGCGAGGACCCAAACAUUGGUCUCUUCUUCCAAGUAACUUCAUGCUUAUCCUAUUUGUAAAUGGUGGCAUAGCUUAGUACAAUUAAUUAGUCUCAGUGUGCAAGUUCUACGAAUAAUGAAUGUUAUCAACUAAUGGAGAUUUAGUUCAUUAGCUCUAUUCAAUGCUCCUAUAAUGGAAUGUAAUAUAAUAUAACCUUAAUGUCUUGGAUUAAUGUCUUGGAUUUCAAGGGGAAAAAGCCCUGUAAUGGUCCCCUAUAAUAGUUUCAAGAUUACUCAUGGAUCUAUGGUACGAAGUUUUAGCUUCAUUGUUGUCCUUCCAUCUCAUUUCUCAAACAAUUUAAACUCUUAAAAAAAAUGGGACAUAAUAUUUUUUAAGAAGUGGACUUUAAACUUAACUCAACUUCACAAAAUCGGCUUAUGAGAUGUACUUUGAUAAACCCAUCAAACAUUUGUUAAAAUAGACUUUAAAUGAAUCUGAUACCAUAUGAAGAAGUAAACUUUAAACCUAAUUAGAUGAAGUUUGCACUCACUUGUAAAGAAAGAGAUGUUUCGAUCUCUAAUCGACCAAUAUAGAUUCAGAGCUUGUAGAGUGCUGAGAAUGAAGAAAACAAAUCUAGCACCAAUCUGGUGUAAAAUUUGACAUUACCAUAAUAAACUCCAAAGGGCAACGUGGCUCCCUUCGCAUGGUAGAUAAUUCAUAUUUCUUCAGUAGAAGUCACAAGGUGUGACUAUGAAAAAGCCAUGUGUUGGUAGUUAAUUAGCCGGCUGAAAAAGGCGAUGCCCUUUGCAGAGGGAUUGUAAACCUUUCUAGGGCAUGAAGGUUGUUCAUGUUUGGUGGUGAUGAUGCGGGGACC
rnacentral:lncRNA from 1 species